rnacentral:misc_RNA from 1 species
GUAAGCCAAACGAUAGACAAAGGGAUCCCCAACCAGAUGAUGAACUUCAGCAACGUAGAACUUGGCUCGUUCCACGGUGCCCAGGAAUGUGACCAGGCAUCCGCGUUUGGCGGCGACUUCGACUUUGGCCAUUCCUGCUUCACCCACUACGGCUGUCCCAGCGACAUGAGUGACAAAGUCGGCCGCGGACGGGGUAACCCCUCCACCAGCCGGAUUCCGCGCUGCGCCCAAAGUCCACGCCAAGCCACAGUGGUCCACUCACCCAGGACAAACUGUGCCUUUCGCCCGAUUUUUCACGAGAGGAGCACUCACGAGGACGACCAGGUGCUCACCCAAGAACUGUGGAAGCUGGCGCGGAAAUCGGGCACCCUGAAUCUUUCCAACAAGGCAUUGGCCAGAGUGCCCAAGCGACUGUACGACAUUAACGAGGCGGAUGCGGACAGCAAGGCCGUAAAUCUAGAGCAGCUAACGAUUAAGGAGGAGGAUGCCUGGUGGAACCAAGUGCCAUUGAACAACCUGGACCUGAGCUCAAACACCUUAACGCACAUAUCGCCAAAGAUCGAGAAUCUGCAAUCACUUACCGUGCUUACGCUGCACGAUAAUGCUUUGGUGGAGUUACCACCGGAGAUCGGCAAGCUGGAAAAGCUAAUGCGCCUUAAUGUGAGCCACAACAAACUCAGCCAGCUGCCCCGUGAGAUGUACAGUCUACCGGAGCUGCGGCACCUCAACAUCUCGUACAACGAGUUCGACGAACUCAAUCCGGACAUCAGUGACCUUCACAUGCUUGAGUUUUUGGACGGUGGGCAUAACAAUAUUCAAUCCCUGCCCGGCGGCAUUGGGUUCCUGGUGCGUCUAACUGCGCUCUUGUUGCCCAAUAAUCACAUCAAGGAACUGCCGCCCGAUCUUGUUAACAUGCGCUCUUUGCAAAAGAUUGAUCUGAUGCAUAACGACCUGACCAGCUUGCCGGAGGAUAUGGGCCUGUUAAGAAAGCUGGAAUGCCUUUAUCUGCAGCAUAACGACAUACUGGAACUGCCCGAGUUCGAGGGAAACGAGGCCUUGAGCGAGCUACACGCCAGCAAUAAUUUCAUCAAGAUCAUACCAAAAGCUAUGUGUAGUAACUUGCCACACCUGAAGAUACUUGAUCUGCGGGACAAUAAGAUCACGGAGCUGCCCGACGAGCUGUGCCUGCUGCGCAAUCUAAACCGUCUCGAUGUGUCCAAUAAUACGAUCAGCGUGCUGCCGGUCACAUUGUCCUCCUUGGCCCACCUGAUAAGUCUGCAGGUGGAGGGAAAUCCCAUAAAGACAAUCAGACGCGACAUUCUGCAGUGUGGAACAACGCGGAUUUUAAAGACUCUGCACGAUAGAGCUUUGGCCAAGGCCAAGGAGGAGGGAGGUGGCGUCGACGACGCGUCCACGUCAGCGGGCAUCAGUGUUACCCGUUUGCGUGGUGGCCAAAUGGACGAUGGUGAUAUACCCGGAAACUUUCCGGAUAGCUUUCACCACCAGCAACAGCAGAACGGAUUCCAAUGUCAUUGUCCAUAUCCAUGCCAGCAGCAGCAAAUGCAGCAGCAGUUUUGUGUGUAUGAACCGCUCAGAAAUUGUCAGCAAUAUGAUCGCCAGACCCAGGGGCACAUAUAUGAACCCGAAACUUACCAGCAGCAGCAUCAGAAUGGCAGCUUGAGAUCACUUUUUGUGCAACAGCAACAGCAGCGAAUGGAGUAUCCCUAUCCAGGUUGCUUUAUGUACCAACAGCAGCAGCAACAGCAGUUCUCAUAUGAACAGGAUCCAUCCUCUCGCUCAGCUGUCCAUCCACGUUGGAUACAAACUACGACAUACACGUACAUUAGCUGUCAAUCUGGAGGAGCUCACGUCAGUGCCUGACCAGGUGUUCCAGAUCGCCAGGGAUGAGGGAGUGCAUGUGGUGGACUUUGCGCGCAACCAGCUGAGCACUUUGCCCAAUGGACUGCAGCACAUGAAAGAUCUAGUCACUGAGCUAGUUUUAUC